AGAGUUUGAUCCUGGCUCAGAAUGAACGCUGGCGGCGUGCUUUACACAUGCAAGUCGAGCGAGGCCAGGGGGCAACCCCUGAGUCGAGCGGCGAACGGGUGAGUAACGCGUGGAUAACCUGCCCUGAGGUGGGGAACAACCAGGGGAAACUCUGGCUGAUACCGCAUGAUACCGAGAGGUCAAAGGGGGCUCGCAAGGGCUCUCGCCACAGGAGGGGUCCGCGUCCGAUUAGCUAGUUGGUAGGGUAAUGGCCUACCAAGGCGACGAUCGGUAGCCGGCCUGAGAGGGUGAUCGGCCACACUGGAACUGAGACACGGUCCAGACUCCUACGGGAGGCAGCAGUGGGGAAUUUUGCGCAAUGGGCUAACGCCUGACGCAGCAACGCCGCGUGGAGGAUGAAGGUCUUUGGAUUGUAAACUCCUGUCGACCGGGAAAAAGCGAGCCGACCUAACACGUCGGUGAGUUGAUUGUACCGGUGGAGGAAGCCCCGGCUAACUCUGUGCCAGCAGCCGCGGUAAUACAGAGGGGGCAAGCGUUGUUCGGAGUUACUGGGCGUAAAGGGUGUGUAGGCGGUCCUUUAAGUUUGGUGUGAAAUCUCCCGGCUCAACUGGGAGGGUGCGCCGGAUACUGA
rnacentral:rRNA from 1 species